rnacentral:tRNA from 1 species
AGGGGUGUAGUUCAACGGUAGAACAUCGGUCUCCAAAACCGGGAAUUAGGAGUUCAAAUCUCUUCACCCCUG